UACGUAGGGUGCGAGCGUUGUCCGGAAUUAUUGGGCGUAAAGAGCUUGUAGGCGGUCUGUCGCGUCUGCUGUGAAAAUCCGGGGCUCAACCCCGGACUUGCAGUGGGUACGGGCAGACUAGAGUGUGGUAGGGGGGACUGGAAUUCUCGGUGUAGCAGUGAAAUGCGUAGAUAUCGAGAGGAACACCGGUGGCGAAGGCGGCUACCUGGACAGAAACUGACGCUGAGGCGCGAAAGCUAGGGGAGCAAACAGG
rnacentral:rRNA from 1 species